UCUUUGUAAGUCUUUCUUCGCACCUCCACUUCAAAGCACCGUUUCACAUGUCAGCUUAUAUCAUAUUCUCACCAAUUCUCUCGGGGUAAACUGUUUACACUCAUAAUUCAAAGUAUGCAAUAUGACUCACAAGUUUGAAUAGUCUCUCUUUUCCUAUCACCUACACACAACACACACAUUUUUGAGGUCUUUCGGGUUGUAACUUGGCUUGGGUUAGGGUAUGGAUUAUUAUUUUUAAAAAAAGGAAAACAAGUGGCUUUUUGUUCAGAGUCG
rnacentral:lncRNA from 1 species